rnacentral:tRNA from 1 species
CGAAUCUUCAAAAUUCUUUAAA